CCACCGGCAGCUCAAGUGGUAGCCGCUUUUAUUGGGCCUAAAGCGUCCGUAGCCGGUCUGAUAAGUCUCUGGUGAAAUCCCACAGCUUAACUGUGGGAAUUGCUGGAGAUACUAUCAUGACUCGAGGUCGGGAGAGGCUGGAGGUACUCCCAGGGUAGGGGUGAAAUCCUGUAAUCCUGGGAGGACCACCUGUGGCGAAGGCGUCCAGCUGGAACGAACCUGACGGUGAGGGACGAAAGCCAGGGGCGCGAACCGGAUUAGAUACCCGGGUAGUCCUGGCCGUAAACGAUGUGGACUUGGUGUUGGGAUGGCUUCGAGCUGCCCCAGUGCCGAAGGGAAGCUGUUAAGUCCACCGCCUGGGAAGUACGGCCGCAAGACUGAAACUUAAAGGAAUUGGCGGGG
rnacentral:rRNA from 1 species